CCGGAAUUUAUUUCACAAGCAACCUCUUCACAAUAAAUACAAAUUUGCUGUGAGUUCAAUUAUAACUUCAAUAACGCAUGUGCACUGACCUUGCACACCUAUAUUAUUAUACAGUUCAUUAGUUCACUAAUUACCGAUCAUUUUUAUAUAUUAUCUGAUUCCUGUUGUCAAUCCGUGCAUUAAAUAAAGAAACUUCAAGUUUCAUUGUCGCCCUUGUCACAAUGCUGCCCACACAUAGCGCCUUUCUACGCCAUGUUUCCUCGCUUUAUAUAAUCACAGAUUCCGUAAAUAAAUUCAUUACUCAUGCCCGGUUAUAAAGCCUGUAUCCCACUUAAAUCAUAUCAAAUCGUACCGAAACUUAAAGGCCGAUAAUACACCACACAACUUUUGCCUAAAACUGUCGCAUGCAACCUGCUUACAACUUGAGUUGUACUGUGUAAAUCAAACACACACAAUGACACAACUCGCCUACGUUGUCGUGAGUCAGUGAGUGCUUGAUUUACGCAGUACAACUCAAGUAAGGUUGCUGCGACUGUUUUAGGCUAAAUUUGUGUGGCAUAAAUCGGCCAUAAAGUAACAUAUUUCUUUGUUUCCUGGGCACUAUAUAUAGUCGCCCACCAUGCCAUCAAUUCUUUGUUUGCAAUGACGCAAUUUUGGGAUUUCAGUUGGCGGGCAGGUAUCACAAAAACGGCUAUAUUUUAAUGUAUUGAUCGAGUUCAGAGACAUUUUAAGACUCAAAAGAUGAAUUACCGUUCAGUUUUUCUUGCUAUAACCAUUCUGAUAGGAGAAAAUCGUCCACAAGUUGAGUUUGAUUGCCCGUCAUUUGGAUGGAACGUCACGUGAUUGCAAACAAAGAAUAGUACAAAAAUUGGCCAAGACACAGCUGACGUAGCAAAUAAAUGCCUGUACGCAGGCUCUGACGUGGCCUAUUUGAUGUGUUUUUGUAAUACAUGGAUAGCAUUAAUGACGUCGACUCAAACGGAAUACUACGAUACGUUACGAUAGGAUUGGAAGUCUUGGAACAUACAUAAUCUUCAAAGUCGCGAUGGACCGUGUCGUAGGCUAAGAAUAUAUUACUGUAUCCAGAGAGGAUUAAUCAUAGGCAUAGCCCCUCCGUUAAAUCAUGGCCGAUAAUCGUCUUAUUUCGCUCUGCGAUUCAUUUUCGUAUAACUCUCUUGUAAAAUUUUGCAAAUGGUAAAGUCUGAUCAGUAAUGUUCACGAUUCUAGCUACUUUUCAUUUUCAAU